rnacentral:tRNA from 1 species
UGCCGUAAUGGGACAAUGGUACUCCACACGAUUGGAAAUCGUGAUCCGAAAGGAUUUCCAGGUUCGAUUCCUGGUUACGGCGU